AGCGUACACGGUGGAUGCCCUGGCAGUCAGAGGCGAUGAAGGACGUGCUAAUCUGCGAUAAGCGUCGGUAAGGUGAUAUGAACCGUUAUAACCGGCGAUUUCCGAAUGGGGAAACCCAGUGUGUUUCGACACACUAUCAUUAACUGAAUCCAUAGGUUAAUGAGGCGAACCGGGGGAACUGAAACAUCUAAGUACCCCGAGGAAAAGAAAUCAACCGAGAUUCCCCCAGUAGCGGCGAGCGAACGGGGAGCAGCCCAGAGCCUGAAUCAGUGUGUGUGUUAGUGGAAGCGUCUGGAAAGGCGCGCGAUACAGGGUGACAGCCCCGUACACAAAAAUGCACAUGCUGUGAGCUCGAUGAGUAGGGCGGGACACGUGGUAUCCUGUCUGAAUAUGGGGGGACCAUCCUCCAAGGCUAAAUACUCCUGACUGACCGAUAGUGAACCAGUACCGUGAGGGAAAGGCGAAAAGAACCCCGGCGAGGGGAGUGAAAAAGAACCUGAAACCGUGUACGUACAAGCAGUGGGAGCACGCUUAGGCGUGUGACUGCGUACCUUUUGUAUAAUGGGUCAGCGACUUAUAUUCUGUAGCAAGGUUAACCGAAUAGGGGAGCCGAAGGGAAACCGAGUCUUAACUGGGCGUUAAGUUGCAGGGUAUAGACCCGAAACCCGGUGAUCUAGCCAUGGGCAGGUUGAAGGUUGGGUAACACUAACUGGAGGACCGAACCGACUAAUGUUGAAAAAUUAGCGGAUGACUUGUGGCUGGGGGUGAAAGGCCAAUCAAACCGGGAGAUAGCUGGUUCUCCCCGAAAGCUAUUUAGGUAGCGCCUCGUGAAUUCAUCUCCGGGGGUAGAGCACUGUUUCGGCAAGGGGGUCAUCCCGACUUACCAACCCGAUGCAAACUGCGAAUACCGGAGAAUGUUAUCACGGGAGACACACGGCGGGUGCUAACGUCCGUCGUGAAGAGGGAAACAACCCAGACCGCCAGCUAAGGUCCCAAAGUCAUGGUUAAGUGGGAAACGAUGUGGGAAGGCCCAGACAGCCAGGAUGUUGGCUUAGAAGCAGCCAUCAUUUAAAGAAAGCGUAAUAGCUCACUGGUCGAGUCGGCCUGCGCGGAAGAUGUAACGGGGCUAAACCAUGCACCGAAGCUGCGGCAGCGACACUGUGUGUUGUUGGGUAGGGGAGCGUUCUGUAAGCCUGUGAAGGUGUACUGUGAGGUAUGCUGGAGGUAUCAGAAGUGCGAAUGCUGACAUAAGUAACGAUAAAGCGGGUGAAAAGCCCGCUCGCCGGAAGACCAAGGGUUCCUGUCCAACGUUAAUCGGGGCAGGGUGAGUCGACCCCUAAGGCGAGGCCGAAAGGCGUAGUCGAUGGGAAACAGGUUAAUAUUCCUGUACUUGGUGUUACUGCGAAGGGGGGACGGAGAAGGCUAUGUUGGCCGGGCGACGGUUGUCCCGGUUUAAGCGUGUAGGCUGGUUUUCCAGGCAAAUCCGGAAAAUCAAGGCUGAGGCGUGAUGACGAGGCACUACGGUGCUGAAGCAACAAAUGCCCUGCUUCCAGGAAAAGCCUCUAAGCAUCAGGUAACAUCAAAUCGUACCCCAAACCGACACAGGUGGUCAGGUAGAGAAUACCAAGGCGCUUGAGAGAACUCGGGUGAAGGAACUAGGCAAAAUGGUGCCGUAACUUCGGGAGAAGGCACGCUGAUAUGUAGGUGAAGUCCCUUGCGGAUGGAGCUGAAAUCAGUCGAAGAUACCAGCUGGCUGCAACUGUUUAUUAAAAACACAGCACUGUGCAAACACGAAAGUGGACGUAUACGGUGUGACGCCUGCCCGGUGCCGGAAGGUUAAUUGAUGGGGUUAGCGCAAGCGAAGCUCUUGAUCGAAGCCCCGGUAAACGGCGGCCGUAACUAUAACGGUCCUAAGGUAGCGAAAUUCCUUGUCGGGUAAGUUCCGACCUGCACGAAUGGCGUAAUGAUGGCCAGGCUGUCUCCACCCGAGACUCAGUGAAAUUGAACUCGCUGUGAAGAUGCAGUGUACCCGCGGCAAGACGGAAAGACCCCGUGAACCUUUACUAUAGCUUGACACUGAACAUUGAGCCUUGAUGUGUAGGAUAGGUGGGAGGCUUUGAAGUGUGGACGCCAGUCUGCAUGGAGCCGACCUUGAAAUACCACCCUUUAAUGUUUGAUGUUCUAACGUGGACCCGUAAUCCGGGUUGCGGACAGUGUCUGGUGGGUAGUUUGACUGGGGCGGUCUCCUCCUAAAGAGUAACGGAGGAGCACGAAGGUUGGCUAAUCCUGGUCGGACAUCAGGAGGUUAGUGCAAUGGCAUAAGCCAGCUUGACUGCGAGCGUGACGGCGCGAGCAGGUGCGAAAGCAGGUCAUAGUGAUCCGGUGGUUCUGAAUGGAAGGGCCAUCGCUCAACGGAUAAAAGGUACUCCGGGGAUAACAGGCUGAUACCGCCCAAGAGUUCAUAUCGACGGCGGUGUUUGGCACCUCGAUGUCGGCUCAUCACAUCCUGGGGCUGAAGUAGGUCCCAAGGGUAUGGCUGUUCGCCAUUUAAAGUGGUACGCGAGCUGGGUUUAGAACGUCGUGAGACAGUUCGGUCCCUAUCUGCCGUGGGCGCUGGAGAACUGAGGGGGGCUGCUCCUAGUACGAGAGGACCGGAGUGGACGCAUCACUGGUGUUCGGGUUGUCAUGCCAAUGGCACUGCCCGGUAGCUAAAUGCGGAAGAGAUAAGUGCUGAAAGCAUCUAAGCACGAAACUUGCCCCGAGAUGAGUUCUCCCUGACUCCUUGA
rnacentral:rRNA from 1 species